CAGUCGCCGCGGUAAUACGAAGGGGGCUAGCGUUGCUCGGAAUGACUGGGCGUAAAGGGCGCGUAGGCGGAUUGUUUAGUUAGGCGUGAAAUUCCUGGGCUUAACCUGGGGACUGCGCUUAAUACAGGCAGUCUAGAGUGUGGAAGAGGGUUGUGGAAUUCCCAGUGUAGAGGUGAAAUUCGUAGAUAUUGGGAAGAACACCGGUGGCGAAGGCGGCGACCUGGUCCUUUACUGACGCUGAGGCGCGAAAGCGUGGGGAGCAAACAGGAUUAGAUACCCGUGUAGUCCCUGUCUCUUAUAC
rnacentral:rRNA from 1 species